GGAAAAUGAAAUUAAACAACUGGAAAAUGGUGUGCUGUCUUUUCAUAACACCGUUAUCAUAAUGUUUUCAUCCAAAAAUGGUGUAUUAGAGGGAAAAGAUAAAGCAUUUCACGUGACUUGCGAAAUAGAUACGACAGGGGUUAAAAGAGUCAAUGGGGGACUAGAUGUCACGAAAUUCGAAACAACACAAAUCAAAGCCAGAGCAAAUAUAGUGCCAGAUGCUUGGUUAAGAGUUUUGGACGGAGAAAACCCUUUUGGGAACCCGGCUAAAUAUUUGAUUCUAGGCGG